GUGGAGGUGGGCUUUAAGAGAGCUUCCUCUUAGCUGCCUAGAAGAGAGUCUUCUCCCUGAUGCCUUCAGAUGAAGACGUAGAGUUCUCCUCCUGCACCAUGUUUGCUUGGACCCGCCAAGCUUCCCACCAUGACAACAAUGAACUAAACCUCUGAAACUCACUGAGAUUCAGUUGGAUCAAGAAGUAAAUGAACUCAGAACAGUGCCAAGGCAAUGGUGACCCUGUGUCCCCUGUGCCUGCUGAGAAAGUGACAGCAGAGAAAGCAUGGCCGGCACAGGCACAAGGGAGCACAUCAUCUGGAGCACAUCAUCUGGAGCACAUCAUCUGGCCGCUUUCACCUGGGUUUGCAGUGCUGUUUACACAGUUAAGUCUCUUUACUUUAGGGUCUCUCACGGAACCUAAGAUCUGGGAUCUGCCCGUCUCUGUCGCCUGACUGUUACAGGGGUGCUGGGGAUUUGAACUCGUACUGCCCUGCUCGCUCAGCAAGUGUUUGGAUUCACUGAGCAUCUCCCCAGCUCCACGAGGGAGUUUCUCAUCCCACUCUGAGCCUUGGAAGGCUAACUCAUAUGGAUUGCAAACACAGAUUCCCUUCCAACUGGUA